rnacentral:rRNA from 1 species
UUCACAUGAACAGCCUACCUUGCCAUAACUGUGGUAAUUCUAGAGCUAAUACAUGCACCAAAGCUCCGACCUUACGGGAAGAGCGCAUUUAUUCGAACAAAACCAAGCGGCUUCGGCCGUCCGCAGUUGACUCAGAAUAACUAAGCUGAUCGCAUGGUCUUGAACCGGCGACGUGUCUUUCAAGUAUCUGCCUUAUCAACUUUCGAUGGUAGUGUAUCUGACUACCAUGGUGGUGACGGGUAACGGAGGAUAAGGGUUCGACUCCGGAGAAGGGGCCUGAGAAAUGGCCACUACGUCUAAGGAUGGCAGCAGGCGCGCAAAUUACCCACUCUCAGAAUGAGGAGGUAGUGACGAGAAAUAACGAGACCGUUCUCUACGAGGCCGGUCAUCGGAAUGGGUACAAUUUAAACCCUUUAACGAGUAUCUAUGAGAGGGCAAGUCUGGUGCCAGCAGCCGCGGUAAUUCCAGCUCUCAAAAUGCAUAGAAUUAUUGCUGCGGUUAAAAAGCUCGUAGUUGGAUCUGUGCCGGUGGACCCGGUCCACUCGAAAGGGUGCGCACUGGGCUCCCCGGCUUUCUGCCGGUUUUCCCGUCGUGGCCUUAACUGGUUGCGGCGGGUGGCUGGCGAUUUUACUUUGAACAAAUCAGAGUGCUUAAAACAGGCGUUUCGCUUGAAUGUUCGUGCAUGGAAUAAUAGAAAGGAUUUCGGUUCUAUUUUAUUGGUUUUAUAGACUGAGAUAAUGGUUAACAGAGACAAACGGGGGCAUUCGUAUUGCUGCGUGAGAGGUGAAAUUCUUGGACCGCAGCAAGACGAACUACAGCGAAAGCAUUUGCCAAGAAUGUCUUCAUUAAUCAAGAACGAAAGUCAGAGGUUCGAAGCGUAGAAAUUCCGCCCCAA